GAUCAGCUCUCCGUCCUCCUCCUCCGCCCCCCCCCCCGUCACCUCCUCUCGCGAUUCAGCACUAGCUCGGCGGUCGUGGAUCCUCGCCUCCUUCCCGGCCGGCCGCUUCUUGUUCUGCGAAUAGGCCACCACGGUUCGUCAUUCUUCAGGAUCCAGUAAUGGAGGGUAGCAGUGCGAUGUCUCCUCUAGGAGAGCCCUCAAUUCCAAUGAUCGCAGCAUGUGCACCAGCACUAUCAGCCAUGGAAUCGGUCAAUAGUGUUCAAAAUCAUGAU